rnacentral:rRNA from 1 species
GUAACACGUAGGUAACCUGCCCACUGUGCCCGGGAGUAACUUCUGGAAACGGAUGCUAAAACCGGAUAGGUAGCAGACAAGCAUUUGACUGCUAUUAAAGUGGCUAAGGCCAUGAACAUGGAUGGACCUGCGGUGCAUUAGCUAGUUGGUGAGGUAACGGCCCACCCAAGGCGACGAUGCAUAGCCGGCCUGAGAGGGCGGACGGCCACAUUGGGACUGAGACACGGCCCAAACUCCUACGGGAGGCAGCAUG